rnacentral:rRNA from 1 species
AUUGAACGCUGGCGGCAGGCUUAACACAUGCAAGUCGAGCGGGGGAGGUUGCUUCGGUAACCGACCUAGCGGCGGACGGGUGAGUAAUGCUUAGGAAUCUGCCUAUUAGUGGGGGACAACAUUCCGAAAGGGAUGCUAAUACCGCAUACGCCCUACGGGGGAAAGCAGGGGAUCUUCGGACCUCGCGCUAAUAGAUGAGCCUAAGUCGGAUUAGCUAGUUGGUGGGGUAAAGGCCUACCAAGGCGACGAUCUGUAGCGGGUCUGAGAGGAUGAUCCGCCACACUUGGACUGAGACACGGCCCAGACUCCUACGGGAGGCAGCAGUGGGGAAUAUUGGACAAUGGGCGGAAGCCUGAUCCAGCCAUGCCGCGUGUGUGAAGAAGGCCUUGUGGUUGUAAAGCACUUUAAGCGAGGAGGAGGCUACUAGUACUAAUACUACUGGAUAGUGGACGUUACUCGCAGAAUAAGCACCGGCUAACUCUGUGCCAGCCGCCGCGGUAACAC